UUCAUUUAAUUUUAUUUAAUUUCACUUCAUUUCCAUCCAAACAAAGGGUUUAAGAGCUGAGCAUCAAAGUUCCACUUCCAACCACCCAGUACUUCUCAAUUACCAGCAAAGCUCCACAAAUAUGUGUUUUAUUGGUCAAUCCUAAGUUUGCGUGGACAGCCCUUUACUACAGCUUCUAAAAGGACACACAGACCUUCACCACAGCCAUGUCCUAAUGAUCUCUCACUAAAAACACCACAUUCGCCAAUAAUUUCACCUAUUCAAGUUAACACCUGACAAAGUCGAACCAUUUACUGACCAAGCCCUUGCUCAAAUGAGGAAAUUAAAUAAAAUCGAACCACAUUUAUAAUAUACACUUACAGACAAGAAUAUGUUUUGGAAUCCAGUGAAAAAGGAUCGGAUACCUCCAUGGCGUUCUACUUCUUCAGACAUUAACUGCCCGACUCAAAGGAUGCAGAUAAGAGCUAUUAUCUAACUCAAAGGAUGCAGAUAAGAGCUAUUAUCUAACCAUAUCUAUCCAUGUAUGAAAGGGGCGAUAAGCCAACAACUAUAGUGAAAAUACCAGAAACAAUUCUCAACCCAGAAAAACAAAAAUAACCUUACAAACACCGUUAAAUUCACAAAUAAAAUGUAAGAUAGGUUAACUACUAACCCAUAUCGCAUUUUAAACAUUUCCAUCAAAUCAAAUCAAUUCUAAUCGCUUCAGAACAGCUGCACCUGUACCUUGUUUGUUAACUUAAUAACACUUGGACUACCAAAAACAAGGCAGAGAGUGUGGACCAACACCAAUGGGACACCUUCAAAUUGAAUCGUCUGCAGCUCAAACUCCAUCUCAAGGUUUGUGGAUCUUGAAGCCAAAAACUCUCGGUACAUAGCUCUGGGUUGCCUUUUGUGGCUUCAGGUGCCCAUAUGUCAUCAGGAAUAGAUGAGGAAAUGUGGUUCCAAAAUAAGCUCCAUCAAUGUCUAUGUAACGUCAAAGAAAUUUUGAUAUAAAAAAAGUCACAGGAACACACACACAAAGUUGUCUAAACGCAAAUGAAUGUAUCACCAUAAAAUGAAAUGAAAUGAAAUGCACCUCGUAAGAAUGAUGACUCGACUUCCAAACUUCAGUUGAUUAAUAAAAUGUGAACUUCAUAUCAAUAGGAUAAAAGCAAACUCAGAUUUCGUAAAGUCUAUGAAAGGAUAAUGCAAUUAGUAAGCAGAUGCUAAACUCAUGCCUACUAAAGCCUCAUAGCUAUAAAUGAUGGGCAUAAUAGAAGGAUACUGCCUUGAUACUUGGAUCGAGGGUAAUAUAUAUCUUCACAUUUAGGACAGUAGAUUUUAACUGUGCUUGAACGAGGAAUGUCUGACUGGCCAACUGGAAGGCAUGGCUGUCCACAGCAGUAAACUCUUGGGCAUCUUCCAAAAUCAUAGUUUUUGUACUUCUCUAACAUGACUGACAUUCCCUUGCUAGUUAGUAUGUAUCGCACAUGGAUUAGACCAUACAGCAUCUCUGCUGCAGAUUCCACCAACUCGUUCUGUUCUUCAGUAAACAUAUCACCUGAGUAGCGGCAAAACCAUGAAGAAACUUAACAGACAGAAAAUGAGUGAGACGAAUUGAAAAAAAUCUAACACAUCUUGUUCAAUCAGAUAAUUCUAUGAAUGUAAAUAAAUCAAACCAAUCCAUGUGAAGGAACAAAUUUAUAACAUAGCAUAUGUGAACUGGUAGGCAGAUAAAUAAAGAAUCAUCUAUUAUAAUGCAAUAUUUCCAACUUCACUGGAUAGCAUUAAUCAGUAAAGCCAAGAUAGAAUACUUUCUCCAUGUUAACAGCAAAGUAAAUAGCAAAAUGAGUUUUCACCAAGACUCAAAAAAGACUAGCUCGGCAUUUGCAUUUCAGGGUUGUAGAUUAUUGAGGCAUGCAAUGUGCCAGUAUAUGCUUAAUACACACUGUCUUAAAAAAUGACAGAUAAAUUUAAAAGCUUAUUAUCCCAAAGGCACAUCAGACAAACAAUUCAAUUAUAAAUAUAGGCUUAACAGGUUGAAUAAUGGAAUAAACAAUCACACAAGUCCCCAGACAUAAACUUGAAAAAUAAAUGCCAGUUAUUACAAAAAAUAAUUAUUACCAUGGGAGGAUUCAACAUCCAAAAUCAGAUCAAGUGCAUAAUCAUAAUAUGGAACUUGACUGCUUAAACCACAAAGAUUAAAAUCAUCCUGGAUGUAUUCAUCAUCAACUUCACAAAAAAAUUCAUUUCCUCGCAAAUUGCAAAACCAUGAUAUCCAGGAUGUGUCAUCUCCAUCAGAACCGCUAACAUCUGAUUCUUCACUGUCAGUCUCUGAUUCCU
rnacentral:misc_RNA from 1 species